CGGCGCCUCCACCGCGCAAGCGCAGUAGCGGCGGCGCGCGGGGAGGUGAUCCCCGGCUCUCCACCCGCCUUCCUACGCGUGCGCAGCCGCCCGCCUGGGAGCCGUCCGGGCAGCGUAGGGCUGGGCGCGCGGGGCUGCACAGGCGCAGUGGGCGCCACGCCCCCCCGAGCUGGGCUCACCUCACCUCACCUCGCCUCACCCCGCUCCGCCGGGGCUGGAAAUGGCCGUGGUCGCGGUGCCUCGGCUGUCGGCCGCGGUGGGCGGCGCUCCUGCGGGGUCUUGUCCUGGAGACUGGGGAAGCCCGGCGCGGCGAGACCCGGCAGCGUCAUGUCUUCGGCCUGGAACGUCAGGGCUCACUGAGCUGACGGUAGCUGGGCUGCGAGGCGGGCGCAGAGCCAGGAGCCGAGGGCUCGGAGGAGUCUCCGCGAACGGAGGCGAAGCAGUGAAACUGGUGCACGGCGCCGUACGGCAGCGCCUGAGCCUCGGCGCGGAACCCGGUGGGGAAUAAACAGCGUCUCGGUGCUCGCUGGGAAUAGACGUGCUACCACAAGUUAUUUUGGGAUACAGGCGAUCCCUCCGGGUGGUAGUCGGUGGUUUAUUUUUUAUGUAUAUGCUGGUAAAGCUUAACGGAGUGGCAGAGAACAGACUUGAUCGUCUCAGUCCUUCUGCCUGUGUGAAAUGUUUUUAAUACCGGUGUUAUAAAACAGUAUUACCAAAUUUUAAAAAUAAGAAAUGGCCAUAGCUAAAUUUAAUAUCUCGACAGCUAAUAAAAUCUUAGAACCUUAAAAUUACCGUACCAAUGUUGCACUGUUUGUACAGUUCGUGGAGUAGUAAUAUUGGCUGUUGAGGUCUGGGAGGUUUCUGGACCACCAAAGUGAUGAAGGGUUCACAGCAAGUAACUUUCCUACUUUCAGCAAUUUAAGUCUGUUCUUAUUGUUUGCAAGACCUUACAGUUUGGAGGUUUUUUUAAUGUGGCUGCAAGGUAAAAGAGUAAUUGCGAACUUGAUAAACUGAAGUGCCCUGUUUGGGGUUGAAGUAUUUUUGUUAGGCAAACGACACGUUGAUGUUGUGUAGGUUAGCUCAGAAAACAGCUGAGGAAAACACAGCUGUAGUGGGAAUUAGCAGGACAAUCUUUGGUAAAAAAUGUUAGAAUUCUUGUGUUUGUGUCUUGGUAAGGCUUAUAAAAACUGUAAGAUAUGUCUGUAUUAUUGACUUUGCAGAGAAAGUUGAGAACCAGCCUAGCUAAUAAACAGCAUCAGGUAUCAGAGUUAAUCAGAUGACUGAUAGUGCACAGUUGUUAUGUACAACUGUAAUGGAUUCCAGCCAUGCUACUACUGCAGGACUGGAAUAUGCUUACAUGUGCAGUGACUAUGUUAGAGUAUGCAGCAGAACAUAGCAGCAAACUGUUUUCUGUAAAAUAAAAUGUUUCUUGGUGGUAAUAGCAUGUAAAUAUUCCCAGUUUUCUUUCUCAGUUGCAAAUAUGUUGAUUUUUCAGUUGGUCUCCUAAACAGCAAUAUGUCUAAAAGCACAAUUACAAAUGUGUAUAGAAGCUUAAUUGGUGUUUGUGUCUGGAAUGAAGUAGGAACUCGGCUGCAAAAUCUCAUGGAAUUUUCUUUCUGGAUUACUUUUCAGCUAGAUCAGUUUGCCCAUUUGACUCAUCUUGUGACCAAAGUCUUAUGCAAAGGUAUUGUAGGGACAAGAACCUCUUUAAGAGUAGUGCUGCUAAAGAACUAACCAUGUGCUCAGUUUUUCCACUGGAAGAAUUCUGAAAAGCAUUAGUAAAACCACUUAUUUUUGUUACUUACUCAUUCCAUUGCUCUGUUCUAUUCUAUUUCUAUUCUAUUCGCCCCUAUUGCUCUAUUUCUAGCUUUCAAUUGAGGAAAAUGUGAUAAACAAAAUUAAUAAUUUCAUUACUCAUGCAAAGGAUAAUGUUCCUGUGAUGAAAUGGAGUGAAAAUAAUAGGAUACAGCAGAAAUGGAAAAUCCAGGAGAAAAUGCAGGAAUGUUUUCAACAAAAAUGCAAAAUUACCAGAACUAGAUAGAAUAUGGCCAAGAAAUUAGGAGGGUAAAAAUAGCAUCAAGCUAUAUGUAUGGAGUUUGCCACAUGAUCUUUAGUAACCAGUAGUAAUUAUCGAGGAAAACAAAGUAGAGAUACUGUAAUGUCUCUCUUCAGACCUUGCAUCUCUGGGAGCAUAACACUUACCUGCUUCAGUGUUGCAGUAGCAACUUACCCUUUGUGGCUUGCACAUCUUAUGUUUUGCAACCUGACAAGAUUAAAACAGGCAACAUAGCUGUGGAAAUCACAUGCAUUUCCAUUUUCUGCCAAGGUUAUGGCCUAACCAAGGUCAUUUUUUUAAUGCAUCUUUUCUUUUGAAAAUAUUUUAAAGGCUUCUGAAGGAACAGGACAGACAGAUUAAAAAUUGUGUGGUAGUUUUAUGAAAUAAUUCUCCACCUAGAAAUACUAUUUUUCUGGCUCUUAUUGUCAAUGUGAGUUUGCUCUAAUGCGUACUGAUAGCUUUGUUUCACUCACAAAUGUUGCAUGACAGCCAACAUAAUUUUCAGAGAUUGCCAAAUUAUGACCAGUGAAUCUUUUGUGAGUUAUUGAGUGAUGUGACAAUAAAAGGCCUGAAAUGCAGAAAUUUCUGAUGCACUUCCAUUAACUAUGGCUGCGUUUCCUACAGAACUGUCAUCACCGUCUUGUGCACAAGACACUUCAGAGUCAUAAAACAAUCAUCUGCUCAGAAUGUUUCUUUUUGAUCCUCACUGGCAUUCCGAAGAGGAUCUGUUUGAGGAAGCAGAUUUUGAAACUAAAUUUCAUAUCACUCCAGAAUACUAAAAUCAGAACAAAGAUGCUGACUUGAAAGCCUGUCACAAUGUACAUAAUCCUUGUAAAGCAAGAGUCACUAAUGUUCAUGCCGAGGCCCUUUCCCUACAAAUGGUGUAACAGAUUAAGAACCAGAAACAUCUGCUUUUAACCUUGGAUUUUGCUGCUGCUUUGUCUCGUGUGAUGGCUGUAAUCAUGAUCACGUGGUCACUUGGAGGAAGCAAGGGGAGCAAAGGCCCUUUCCUGUCAUAGCUGCUGACCGCUCCUGUUACUUCCAGUGUGACACCACCAGCACUGAUACAGUUGUGUGUUGUGUUUGUGUACCUCACAGCAGCCACGCAAGCAGGAAGGAGGCUCACCACUAAGAGGAACCAGGUGGUAGUAUUCCUUUUGUAGCAGCCAACACUGAUACUCACCUAACAUGACUGUGGAACUAUCUAAAGUCACUGAUGACUUAUUUACAUUUAAAACUACUAGUUAGCUUUCUGGUUUGAAGUGGCAGAUAACCCAGUAUGUCUGAAAUGAAAUGCAUCUACUAGUUAUCUCUUUGAAUCUGCAAAAGAUAAGUUUUUACAAUAGUAUCUACCGGUAGGUGUCUACUAAUACUGCAUCUGUAUCCUACUGGGUGGAAAAAAAAAUGGCUAAUGUUAAUUGUUUUUCUUAGGUAUCUGUGUCCUGAGCGUUAAGUGAACUGUUUCUGUCUCGCUUUCCUUUAUGCAUCCUGAUGCUAUAAACCAUAUCAGCUGUAUAUAACUGAGUCUUCAUUAGCACAUUGAGAUUGCUGCUUUUUAUUUUUGGUGAUGAGUCACUGGAAAAAUAACAGUAAUACAAUGCAGUUUGAUUCAGUACUCAUAAUAAAAAAUGUUGAAUCAGGA